rnacentral:rRNA from 1 species
UACAGAGGGUGCAAGCGUUAAUCGGAAUUACUGGGCGUAAAGCGUGCGUAGACGGUUGCGUAAGUCAGAUGUGAAAGCCCCGGGCUCAACCUGGGAACUGCAUUUGUGACUGCAUGGCUGGAGUGCGGCAGAGGGGGAUGGAAUUCCGCGUGUAGCAGUGAAAUGCGUAGAUAUGCGGAGGAACACCGAUGGCGAAGGCAAUCCCCUGGGCCUGCACUGACGCUCAUGCACGAAAGCGUGGGGAGCAAACAGG